rnacentral:lncRNA from 1 species
CUGUGAUGCGAUGCGGGGCAUGCGUAGAUGAGACUCCAUCUGCCCGGAGCUGCUUUCCUGAGCCUUGGAGGACAGCUUCGUCAUGGCUCCUAGACUUCCGUUUAUCCUUGCUGCCUAUCUGUUGCAGGCUGCAGCCUGGCCAUCCUGCAGGCUGGGAAGCACAGCCCCUGGCAAAAACCAGACGCGAGCACUUCAGAGAAGGAAGGAUGAGACAGGAAUUGAAGCUGAACAGAGUUGAAGACCAUGUAUAUACAAGAAGCGAGAGGAGAGACCUGCUACUAAGGCCAGUGGGAAAGCGAAAGAACUUGGUGAUCUCUUUACGCAUACCUGCUCCCCUUCCACUUUCCACCAUGACUGGAAGCACCAUGAGGCCCUCACCAGAUGGAGCUGCUCAAUCUUAAACUUUUCAGCCACCAGAAUUAUAAGCCAAAUAAAUUUCUUUUCUUUAUAAAUUACCCAGCCUCAGGCAUUCUGUUAGGGCAACACAAGAUGGACUAAGACAAUGCUAGUACUACUAGAAAGUGAGUUUUCUCUUUUGCCCUGGACUGACCAGA